AAAUUGAAGAGUUUGAUCAUGGCUCAGAUUGAACGCUGGCGGCAGGCCUAACACAUGCAAGUCGAACGGUAACAGGAAGCAGCUUGCUGCUUUGCUGACGAGUGGCGGACGGGUGAGUAAUGUCUGGGAAACUGCCCGAUGGAGGGGGAUAACUACUGGAAACGGUAGCUAAUACCGCAUAACGUCGCAAGACCAAAGAGGGGGACCUUCGGGCCUCUUGCCAUCGGAUGUGCCCAGAUGGGAUUAGCUAGUAGGUGGGGUAA
rnacentral:rRNA from 1 species